UUUAUCAUUGGUAUCCACGCAAUUUGUCUUUUGCUUUCCUUUGCAAUCCAACCAAAUUACUGUUUCAUGCACGAUUGGUUGCUGUGUUAAAUAAUUUGCAUAGCAACAAGACACUGAUUGGUCGAAUUCGGCAUCGCUGCUGCAGCCGUUACGGAAUUUUCUGUCAUUACGGAGAGCGGGAAGAAGCACUUCUGAAACACACGUCCAGGCAUUUUGCUUCUGUCUUUUUCGACUUAAAAGCUCAAAAAUAUUAAGAAGCUGGAUUUAAAUGAUCAAAUAGUUUGUAGACGAAAUGUAAAGGUGAGUUUUGAUUAUUUGUGUUUAUAGUUUUUAUAUAAUUAGUACAUGUGACAAACAAUUUAAAUGUUUCAACUACUCAAAGCGAAAUUAGAAACGUAAAUUUAGCAUAUACGACAGCAUGCAAUGCUGUUAUCCAUUUGUGUACACGUUUUGACAUUUUUAAAGCAGUUAAUUACUUAAAUAUUACGUUACAAUACACAAUAUGUCAUAGGCAUAGCAACACGACAUUGAUUGGCCAAAGAAUUUUCAAACAGAACGGAGAGCGGGAAGCAGACGACCAUGGCUUUGUCGUCGAUGUCGUCAGAAGAACUCCUUUUAAAAUUAACAGAGGCCGGACUCGAAUUCUCAGAGGAAGAAAAGAGAAAAUUCAAAGGUGAGUUUUAUAUUUAAUCCAAUCAAAAAUGUAUAAAAUGUUACAGCUAUUUAAGCAUGGCAUUAGCAAGUUUAUUUAGCUUAUGUACGAAUCCAGUGCUAUUAACCGUCCGCUUAUAGUAUAAAGUGAUUUAGUUUGUGUGCUGCAAUUCUGGUAAAUUAAGUUAUGCCUGGUUCAGAUUAAUUUACAAGAUUUUUGUGUCAGUUAUGAUAGUCACGGUGUCUCGCCCACACACACUGUCGCUCACUCACUCGCGCACACACACACACACACACGCACACACACACACACACACACUCACUGUUGUUCGCUCACAUACUCGCUCACUCUUGACAGAACCGUCGUGGAUGACCGUUAAAAAUUAAACAUGCUAGUCGUGAUGUCGUGAAGCAUCGCACUCGCGACAUUGUUUGUCGCCUAUUAUGAAAGUGACGUGACAUUCAGCCAAGUAUGGUGACCCAUGCUCAGAAUUCGUGCUCUGCAUUUAACCCAUCCGAAGUGCGCGCACACACACAGAGCGGUGAACACACACACACUGUGAACACACACCCGGAGCAGUGGGCAGUUAUGACACACUAUACGAGAUGAAACUAUUGAAUCUUGCGUCCCGACGCCCGUUGUGGUUUAUGAAUCCCCACGACACCCUGCGUCAAACUGAUCUGUUAAAUGUUAUCGUGUAAUCUGAACCAGGCGUUAAUUUAACGUUUGACAUUCGUUACACAUACGGUUUCAUACCUAUUAAACUCUGUGCAUUUCAUGUUUUCAGCCCAAACCCAACUCUGAUAUACAAAUAACCUCCGUCUUGUGCAUGUUCAAAAAGUAGAUAUCUUGCAAAAGUCCAGACAAACUUGUGACGUGUGUUCUUUGUGUUCUGCCCAUCAAUCUUUCCCCGUGUUUAAAAUAGUGUGAUUAACGUUACCUGAUUCUGCCCUAUCUAUAAGUCAUAUACAUUUCAUUCAUUGUAAGUUUUUUGAAACUUAGCAAAUGUCUCUUUGACUCUUAGAUUUUGAAGUUGAUGGGGAAACUGUCAGUGCUGGACUCACGGAUCACAUGAUAGCACAACUUUUUGAGAAGUCUUUUAAGAAGCAAGUUAAAUUUAUCAAACUUAUCCAACAACUUGAAGAGAACCAGAGUGAAGAACCGUCUGAAAGUCUGACUACACCUUCAGCUUUGAGGCAAGUAUUCGUAUUGUUUUAUUUAUGUUCCCUUAUAUUUUCUUCUGAUUGACUGAUUUUCUUUAAGUCCUUAAAUUUUGUAUUAUUUUUUUUGCCAGAAUGACAUUGAUGUCAGUCUUGAUAAAGCACAGUAAAACUGCACUUCAAAGUCUGAAAGAUUUCACAGAAGUAACUUUAUUAGAAGUCUAUUAACCCAAACUCUGAUGCUUCAAAACUUCAAUAAAGAGAUCGUAAAAUAAGUCCAAAUGAAUUAAGUCGGUUAAUUAAUUUGUUUAUUUAAAAUCUGGCCAUCAUUUUAUGUUACAAAAAGUGCAUAAUGCUGCUUAUUUUUGUUGGUUUCGACAUAUAACUCUGUGAAGUGAUUUCAGUAUAUGUGAGUACUUUUUGAACAUUCCAGAACAUUUUAUCAAUAGCUGCGUUUACAUGGACACUUGUAAUUUAAUUGAUGGCUCAAUCGGACUAAAAAACCUUAAUGUAAACACCUUAAUCGAUCUGAUUUAGCUUGAUCCGGAUGAAAUUUAGAUCGGAUUGAAAUGGGCGGUUUAUCCCUUUUGUAAUCCGAUCGAGAGAACCGGAUUGAAAACCGAAACUGAAAGGACUGUGCAAUGACGUUAAAUAGCGUAAUGACGUAUGACGCGUGGAACGAGCUGUUCUUCCUGUUGAAUAAAGUGUCAUAUUAAUAAGUUUCCCGUCAUUCUAAAAUCCUAAUUUCACUCGCGUCUCUGUGAAGUGAAGCAGGACAACGUCCCACCAGUCCUUGUUUUGGAUUCUUAUCCAAAGAUGUCUGGUUUUGGCCGUGGUGAGGGGCAUUUUUCCUGCGUGAUCAAUAAGCAGCACGGCAAAACGGUUAAUCUGCUCUAAAUUAUGACCAGAGACAAAUUAAUAUUAUGUCUGCUGUUUAAAACAAAUAAAUAACCAAUAGAGGAGAAUAUUUAUGCACGAACAGCCGGAAACUCUGUAUAUUUGUGCAGUGUGCGCAUGUCAAAACAUCAAAUCUGAUUUGAAACUUGUGACACAUAAACGCGCACAUCAACCUGAUUACUUUAUUUAUCAUUCAUGUAAACACCUUGUUCGGAUUCAUCAAUUGUAUUUAUUUCAUUCUGAUUGUGUCCAUGUAAACGUAGCUAAUGCUGUUAAAAUUCAGAGAUCAUUUUGGUCACUAUAAUCGUGAUAUGAACAUUUUUGUACUGUUUCAUCUCUAUUCUGUGUCAUUCCUCUGUCUAAACAGCCAAGAGCAAAGAAUUUCAGCCCCAUUCCUCGUCUUCUCACUACCAAAUUCCCAAAGGAUGUUCAGUUAAAAUUGGAUAACAAAGAAUCACGUCAUAAGAUCAGCACUUACCGGCAUAAAAUUGUACGAGUGCUGCACGAGACUAUGGCUCAGCACACACUAUAUCCUUCAAACAGUGACUAUGUUUGUGCAGUCAAGGCUCUUAUCUCCAAAUACCCUUACCUGAGAGAUGCAGAGGGAAAUGGAUAUGAAAUGGGUCGAAUGCAUGCCGUAAAUUUAAGCCGGUGUUUCCAGGAUUCCUUCAGCAAAAUUGUGUCCAAUGUUUUGAGUUUGGCUAAGGGGAAAUCCGUUAUAGAAGCACAUUACAUGGAUGCCAGAAGAGAAGCUGUUGCAGAGAGUCUUUGUGGAAGAACCAGCCACACCAUAUCCCACUGUACAGAUUUUGGGAGCGUCUAACUGGAAACAGGUCUUCAGCGAGAAGAGAAUUUUCAGCACUGUGAAAAUGAAGGGAUCUUUGCUGAGCAGUUGGGGUGGAGGACAGUGUUCUCUCUGCUUUUUGCACGUAUUUUGUAUUCAACCUUUCGUCCCUCAUACAACAGGAACACACUACUCUUUCUCCAAAGGCAUGUGUUGAAGCUAACUGCACCUGGUGACAAACCAUUGCCAACUGCUGUUGUCAGGAUUAUUUUAUCUUAGACUGAGAGGAUGCCACGACCCUAUGCAUGUCCAAAUUGUUCACAGACAUUCAUGAAUAUUGCUGCUUCCUUAAGCAAAAGACACCAAUUCAAACAGUGUUGGGAGUUUUCAUCAGAAAGCAUGUUGAGUGAUUAUGAAAAAGUGACUGGAACAAGCAUACGCACUCCAUUUACAUUUUUACCCAGAGAGCUUCAAAAUACACUUAAAAGUCACAAAAGUUGUCAAGCCAUAGAUUUUGCAGGUAAAACACUUCAACGUGUAAAUAAUGUAAAGUACAGCACCAAAGAUGUGUUUGUUAUUGAUGUUGUGCAUACAGAGGAAGUUCCUUUAUUCUUUCAGGUUAAGUACGUUUUCAGUGUAGAUACAUUGUGGAUACUGUGUGGGAAACUGUUGCUCCCACAAUCGUUUGACUCUCAUUUCCAUGCAUUUCGUGUUUCAAAUGAUAAGGAUUGGUUUUGUGUGAUGCCAGCAGAGGAACUGGACCAACAGGCACUUGACCUUUAUGUGGUUGAUGACCAUUUGUAUGUAAGAGCCAGAUAUGCAUAGUCACUCACCUACAAAACAUUAGGUUUACAUCUCAUUAAAAUGUUUAUAAUGUUAUACAUAAUUUAAUUACUCCUUUAAAACUGUUAAUGUUAUGUAAAUUCAAGGCUAUUGUGUGGAAGUUAAAAAUUUAAAAGUCUAAGUUGUAUUGUGAAUAGCUUGUGAAUUUUUAUUGUAGAUUGGAAAAUGAAAUUGACAUUUGACAUUUUAGUGAAAUAUUUUAUAUUAUAAAUGGAGAAAUGUUUUUAUGUUCUGUUAAAAAAUUUUAAAUCUUCAUUGUAAAGUGUACAGAUGUAUUUACAAAACAAGAAAUAUUUGAACUUGUAACAAAGUAUUCAAACAUGUAUUUAUGUGUAUUGUGAAUAGCUUGUUUUUUUUUUUUUAGAUGGGAAAAUGAAAUCGACAUAUUGUGACAAUUUAGUGAAAUAUUUUGUAGCAAAUGGAGAAAUGUCCUGUUAAAAAUGUUUGAAAACUUCAUUGUAAACUGCAGAGAUGUAUUUUACAAAAUAACCUGUAACAAAGUAUUCAAAUACAAUGUAUUUAUGUGUAUUGUUUCUCAUAUUAAAUUGAUUUUAUUCAAUAGAAAAAUGGCCUUUAAUAGUUCUUGAAGGAACAUAUUUGACACGAUUAAGGUACAAAAGGGCUUGUCACUGGGGUGGUACCUUAAAGGAUCAAAUUUGUACCUUAGAUAAAGGUACAAUAUUGUACCAGUAAGUAAAAAAAAAAAAAGGUACAUUUUGGUUUUCCAUGGUACAAAUCAUGUCCUUAAAGGUACAAACUAUAAUGGUACAAAUUUGUUACUUCACAUUAA